rnacentral:rRNA from 1 species
GCUACCAUGCAGUCGACGGUAACAGCAGAGCUUGCUCUGGCUGACGAGUGGCGCACGGGUGAGUAAUAUAUAGGUAAUGUACCCCUUGGACCGGGAUAGCCAUUGGAAACGAUGAUUAAUACUGGAUACUCCUUCUAACCAAAAGGUUAGUUGGGAAAUGGAUUCUGCCAAGGGAUCGGCCUAUAUCCCAUCAGCUAGUUGGUAGUGUAAGAGACUACCAAGGCGAUGACGGGUAGCGGGUUUGAGAGGAUGAUCCGCCACACUGGUACUGAGACACGGCCCGGACUCCUACGGGAGGCAGCAGUGGGGAAUAUUGCACAAUGGGGGAAACCCUGAUGCAGCAACGCCGCGUGGAGGAUGACGCAUUUCGGUGUGUAAACUCCUUUUAUAUGUCAAGAAAAUGACGGUAGCAUAUGAAUAAGCACCGGCUAACUCCGUGCCAGCAGCCGCGGUAAUACGGAGGGUGCAAGCGUUAUUCGGAAUCACUGGGCGUAAAGGACGCGUAGGCGGGUUGGUAAGUCAGAUGUGAAAUCCUACAGCUUAACUGUAGAACUGCAUUUGAAACUACUAACCUAGAGUAUGGGAGGGGGAGAUGGAAUUAGUGGUGUAGGGGGUAAAAUCCGUAGAUAUCACUAGGAAUACCGAAAGCGAAGGCGAUCUGCUGGAACAUAACUGACGCUAAGGCGUGAAAGCG